rnacentral:misc_RNA from 1 species
ACUGAACGCCGUGCAGACCAAGCGCCUUCCAGGCCUGCAGGGGAGAAGUGAGUCUCCUGCAGCGUACACACUUGCAGCGAGGACUCGUCGAGGAGACGGGACAACCAACGCCGUGUGGCGUCGUCCAGCCCACUGCGAUUCCGGUGCAUGCAGAGCGGGCCGUUGCCGCGAUCACGCUCCACACCACCGCAACGCAGCAAAGGCAGCAAAGGCAGAAAAGCGGUGGGCGCCUGCGCGCAUAUGUGGUGAGCCGUCGGUGCGACUCGUCGUGAGCUGGUCCAAGCGCGAUCAUGGCCGCACGUCUCCUCGGCACCGCGCCAGCCAAGCGCUGUCCGCCGACACCAAGAGGCCGCAGCCGUGCCCGGCGGCCGGGCUGCAGGCUCUUGGCCUCCCCACACAGAGCCUGGGUUCCACACCCUGAUACCGCGGUUGGGUGGCGAGUCUCAUGAGUUUUUUAUUUUCCCCAUAAAGAAAGGCCAUAUUUAAGUUGAUCGACUUGCCACCUGUUUUGGGUGUGUAUAUCGUCUUUUGUGAGGCGGGCGUGUUGCUGAUUAUCUGGCGACUCUCAGUGAGCGGGCGCCGGAGGGUGUACAUGAAAGGUUACGUGCACUCCUUCAUUUCAAUCGCGCAGGUCGGUGCAUAUGCGUAAUGCUUUCCAGGCAAUGAGAUCUCUCGCUGUUCCUCAUGACAACACCACAG